GUAAGAAAUCAAAUGUACUGGGGGCCUGCAUGCCGUAACGUGCAGAAAGCCGGGAGUCGGCAGACCGCCGCACGGCGCGGUUAACUCUCCCGCUGCGGGAGCGCCGCGUGGAGCAGCAGAGCGCCGAGCGCCAUCCGCGGGACUGCGGCGCCGCCUGGAGCACACCCGGGGCCGCGCCGCCCCCGCUUCUCUCGGAGCCCGGGGGUGGUGGGUAAGGGACCGAUGGCUGCUCUGCUCAUUUUUACUCCCAUCCACAAGCCCAAGGGACUCCCUCAUUAGAAAGCCACAUGCUGUCCAAGUACAGGAAUGAAAGCUGCCAGUACAGAACUGGGAGGUCAGCAAUUCUGCCAAUGAGCUCAUCAGGGUCAGCGUGGAUUCUUCAUACACCCCAGCAGGUGUGAUGUGAGCUACAACAGUUCGUGCAGGACAAAAACAAGGCUACGCACAUUUAACCUCUUCUAAUAUUGCUAGGCCACCUUUCCUG
ensembl:lncRNA